UUUGGGAGAAAAUUAGUAAAUCUUAGUCUGCCUGUUAAUAUAUAGUGUUUUGCUGCCAUGGACGGCAGCAAAAGUCUUAACGCCCCAUGGACGGGGCGUUUAAGACGUACACGUCACUUUUUCGCAACCUAAUUCAGGCAGACUUAGAUUUUCUUAUUUUCGUACAAC
rfam:Roseburia sp. 40_7 Ley3_66761_scaffold_6416, whole genome shotgun sequence.